GCGUUAAUCGGAAUUACUGGGCGUAAAGCGCGCGUAGGUGGUUUGUUAAGUUGGAUGUGAAAGCCCCGGGCUCAACCUGGGAACUGCAUCCAAAACUGGCAAGCUAGAGUACGGUAGAGGGUGGUGGAAUUUCCUGUGUAGCGGUGAAAUGCGUAGAUAUAGGAAGGAACACCAGUGGCGAAGGCGACCACCUGGACUGAUACUGACACUGAGGUGCGAAAGCGUG
rnacentral:rRNA from 1 species